GGCUAUUGGUAUACCACCCAACAGCUCUGAACAUACUGGAUCUCCUUUGGUUUUAGAAGCUAAGUAGGGUCAGGUCUGGCUAGUUCUUGGAUGGGAGACCAAACCGGAAGGGCAGAAAUCUCUAGGUA
rnacentral:rRNA from 1 species